GUAUAUAAAUAUUAUAGUUGGAAAAUUUGUUUUUACGGAGUUAGAAAUUUUGAAAUUAUAUGUAUUGUUAAUAUAUAUAUAAGUAGAGAGAGAGAGAGUAUAGUAUUUAGAUUUAUAUUAUUGUUGGGAGAAUUAGGUGUUGUUUAUAGAUUUUAUUUAGAAAGGAUAAUUGGAAGUUUGUGCGUGGUUUUUCGUGGAUUUUGUUGUUUUUUAUUUUUGUUAUUUU
rnacentral:misc_RNA from 1 species